GAAAAGUUAAAAGAUAUAAAACACGAAUACGAAAACUCGAGAAAACUGGCAAGAAACACACAAAAAGACGUAUAGUUUCAGUAAAUAUGUACAUGCUUUUUCAUGAAUAUGGUAGCAGAGAACUGAGAGAAGCUUUGGAAUAAAAUCUUUUAUGCCUGGUGUUUUGGCUUUGGCUUUGACAAGUUGCUCCUGACAACGACAGGUUCAUGUUCAGAUCCGAUCAAAAACAUAUAAAAAUAAAUUAAUCUGUUUUGAUUUAAUUAACGUUUUUCUACUGAAAGGACAAUGAAA